rnacentral:rRNA from 1 species
AACGAACGCUGGCGGCGUGCUUAACACAUGCAAGUGGAGCGACGAACCGGGCUUCGGCCCGGGGCAAAGCCGCGAACGGGUGAGUAUCACGUGGGUAACCUGCCCCGAUGACCGAGAUAACCCGAAGAAACUCGGGCUAAUACCGGAUGUGCUCGCAGCACAUCAGUGCAGUGAGUAAAGGAAGCUUCGGCCUCCGCAUUGGGAUGGGCCCGCGGCCCAUUAGCUCGUUGGUGAGGUAACGGCUCACCAAGGCGACGAUGGGUAGCUGGUCUGAGAGGACGAUCAGCCACACUGGGACUGAGAAACGGCCCAGACUCCUACGGGAGGCAGCAGUGGGGAAUCUUGCGCAAUGCGCGAAAGCGUGACGCAGCAACGCCGCGUGAGGGAAGAAGGCCUUCGGGUUGUAAACCUCUUUCAGGAGGGACGAAGGUUCAGGCGCGAAUAGCGUCCUGGACUGACGGUACCUCCAGAAGAAGCCCCGGCUAACUACGUGCCAGCCGCCGCCGUAA